UGAGCAAUAACAGGUCUGUGAUGCCCUUAGAUGUCCGGGGCUGCACGCGCGCUACACUGACUGGCUCAGCGUGUGCCUACCCUACGCCGGCAGGCGCGGGUAACCCGUUGAACCCCAUUCGUGAUGGGGAUCGGGGAUUGCAAUUAUUCCCCAUGAACGAGGAAUUCCCAGUAAGUGCGGGUCAUAAGCUUGCGUUGAUUAAGUCCCUGCCCUUUGUACACACCGCCCGUCGCUACUACCGAUUGGAUGGUUUAGUGAGGCCCUCGGAUCGGCCC
rnacentral:rRNA from 14 species